AUACGUAGGUGGCAAGCGUUGUCCGGAAUUAUUGGGCGUAAAGCGCGCGCAGGUGGUUCCUUAAGUCUGAUGUGAAAGCCCCCGGCUCAACCGGGGAGGGUCAUUGGAAACUGGGGAACUUGAGUGCAGAAGAGGAUAGUGGAAUUCCAAGUGUAGCGGUGAAAUGCGUAGAGAUUUGGAGGAACACCAGUGGCGAAGGCGACUGUCUGGUCUGUAACUGACACUGAGGCGCGAAAGCGUGGGAAGCAAACAGGAUUAGAUGCCCUGGUAGUCCACGCCGUAAACGAUGAGUGCUAAGUGUUGGGGGGUUUCCGCCCCUCAGUGCUGCAGCUAACGCAUUAAGCACUCCGCCUGGGGAGUACGGUCGCAAGACUGAAACUCAAAGGAAUUGACGGGG
rnacentral:rRNA from 1 species